rnacentral:rRNA from 1 species
UACAGGGGGUGCAAACGUUGCUCGGAAUCAUUGGGCGUAAAGCGCACGUAGGCGGUCUGUUAUGUCGGAUGUGAAAGCCCUCGGCUCAACUGAGGAAGUGCAUCCGAAACUGGCAGGCUAGAGUACUAAAGAGGGUCGCGGAAUUCCCGGUGUAGAGGUGAAAUUCGUAGAUAUCCGGAGGAACACCAGUGGCGAAAGCGGCCACCUGGACUGCACCUGACGCUGACACGCGAAAGCUAGGGGAGCGAACGGG